GGGUGUAGCUCAAUGGUAGAGUGCGUGCCUAGCAUACACAAGGUCCUGGGUUCAAUCCUCAGUACGUCUA
rnacentral:tRNA from 1 species